CUUCUGAAAUGUGAAAGACGGUGAUGGAAUUAUUCCUAGGCCAAACCAUGGAAGUGAGAGUGCAAAAGAAGAAGAGAGAGACCGGAGAGUGGGUCGCCGUUGAUGCCAAGACCAAACCCCUCUUGGAGCUCCAAACCCAUUUUGUUGAUUUGAACUUAGAAUACAGAUGUUCACUUCAAUACUUAAGUAUUUGUGGUUUGAUCAUAUAUAUAUUUGCAGGUUGAAGGUGAGGUCCAGCGAUUAAAUGUUGCAAAGUCAGUAAGAUGAAACAUUUGAUGUUUAAGAGGCAGAAUGAGCUUAAAGAAUUUUACAGAGGAGUUCACAUGGAUUUCGAUAGUGAAUUUGCAAGACAGAUUUUGACUAGUCUCAUUGAAUGUGGAUUAGGUUAAUGAGGCUUUAAAGAGAAAGAGUGGAGCCAAUUUGUUUGCAGUUGUGAUUUGCUUCCAGCAGCAACUUCCUUGCAACUUAGUGGCCCCUCUACUUAUGGUUUGAAGGAAUUACAGAGUUUCCUUGAUAACUUGGGUAGCUGCACAGAACAUGGCAUGGACCUUUCGGGUUCUCCUUCCUCCGUGCUUAGUCUCUUUUUGGGUUCUCCUUCCUCUCUAUUUGUUAAGGAGAAGAGCAUGGUGGAAAGAAUGAUAAGUGUUCCUCAGCAAAAGUUUUCGAACUUGGCUUCACAUUUUUGCAACAAUGGCAGGCAUUGCCACAAGGCCUUUACAAUCAAAUGCAUCAUCAUCAAGACUUUUCUAUACACUUGGUAAAUCUUGUACUCAACAAUACAAGAAUUGAAGAUUUUCUCUAUUUGGGGUUUAGAGCCAUUGCCUUGAUGAUAAAUGACUAGUUAGUGGUGUUUCAAACACUGGUGGAACAAUUCUUAGAUAGUUUUUCACAGAUAACUAAUUGUAUAAGUAGUUUAAUUUACUAUUACAUUUGCCAUAUUAUGAAUUGUACUAUUUAUUUAUGACUAUUAUACAUUUUAUAAAUUUAAUUCACAGU